rnacentral:rRNA from 1 species
AUUGAACGCUGGCGGCAGGCCUAACACAUGCAAGUCGAGCGGAGCGGCGGACGGGAGAGUAAUGCAUAGGAAUCUGCCUGGUCGUGGGGGAUAACGUCACGAAACGGGAGCUAAUCCCGCAUACUAUCAGAUGAGCCUAGGUCGGAUUAGCUAGUUGGUGUGGUAAAGGCCUACCAAGGCGACGAUCCAUAACUGGUCUGAGAGGCUGACCAGCCACACUGGAACUGAGACACGGUCCAGACUCCUAAGGUAGGCAGCAGUGGGGAAUAUUGGGCAAUGGGCUAAAGCCUGAUCCAGCCAUGCCGCGUGUGUGAAGAAGGUCUUCGGAUUGUAAAGCACUUUAAGUUGGGAGGCGUUACCAACAGAAUAAGCACCGGCUAACUUCGUGCCAGCAGCCGCGGUAAUUC